UACAGAGGUGGCAAGCGUUGUUCGGAAUUACUUGGCGUAAAGGGCGCGUAGGCGGUCGGGCAAGUCCUGUGUGAAAUCCCUCGGCUCAACUGAGGAACUGCACGGGAAACUGCCUGGCUUGAGUUCGGGAGAGGGAAGCGGAAUUCCGGGUGUAGCGGUGAAAUGCGUAGAUAUCCGGAGGAACACCGGUGGCGAAGGCGGCGUUCUGGACUGCAACUGACACUGAGGAACGAAAGCCAGGGGAGCAAACGGG
rnacentral:rRNA from 1 species